UACAUGUCUGGGUGGUGCCCUUGUUGGAGCGCUACUUAGUGGUUGGAUUGCUAAUGGGGUUGCUCGACGUAGAGCUUUUCAGCUGUGUGCUUUGCCUAUGAUUGUUGGUGCUUCUAUGAGGUAUGCUUGCACCAUAAAUAUCAUUGCACUUGAGUGCUUACUAGGUCUUUGUGUUGCAAUUGGUUUGGUCUCUUUUAUUUUAUAUACUCUUCAGUUAGAUCUAAUUUUAGUUUAUAAUAGACUAAUAGUUGUCUCAGAUUCCUGGUAUUUUCUGAUAUUGUAAGGGUAAAGUUAUUUUCUAAAAUAAAGGGGCUUAUUGUUACAUAGAAAAAUUUUGCUUCUUACAGGUGCCUUUGACAAGUUUACUUACUGUGGUUAUUGAAUUCUCCGUUGUCAACUUUAGCCUCUGGGACACAGUUAGAUCCAUUACAACAAUUCCAAGAAAGUUGAUGUACAAACAAGUUUUGUGUCCAAGAGAAUGGAUUGGGAAGCAAAUAUUUUUUGGUUAUAUAAUGUUUAAAUUGUGGGGAUAGACAUAGAACCAUCUUCUUUUUUGUAUUUCUAACAAAGGGUCAUCUUUUUUGUAAAUUGAACUAUGACAAGUUUUAUUCUAGAUGAAUGUAUUCUCAAUUAGAAAUUUUCCAAAAGAAUUGUGACAAAUUUUAUAUCAAGAUGUAUGGUCAAUCAUAUGAUCUUUUAUAAAUUGAA